GCCUUGCUAUAAAAAAAGAAAAGAAAGAAAAAGAAAGUCCAUUUCUAAAAAGGCUUUUCAAAAGAAAUAUCCUUUGUUAGACCGCGUGUCCCAAUUUAUGGUUUGAAAAAUGUAGUCAUCAGAGACCAACCCACCCUUCAUGGGAAGUUUUUGGCUGAUGAGAAAUGCAAGAGAACCUCGAGGGCAGUGCCAAGGCCACAAACUCAGGGAUGGGUGCACUGUGAUGGAAGUAAUAAGACACAUGCAUAGUGGCUCAAUUAAAAAAAAAACACACUCCAUCAAUUGACACAGCUUGAUCCUUUGAGGCAUAGAUAUAAAAAUAUACUGCACCAACUGAUGCCCUUGAUCCUUCAAAAUAUUCUUAAAUCCUAAUCCACCUAAGUGCCAAUUUGUUUAUGAUGCAAUUUUUUUAUAGGUAGGUCAUCUGUCUACCUUAGACCUUAUUGUGGAAUAUGGUGUUAGAUACUGGCAUAAGCCUAAUUUUUGUCAGACUGCUUUCCAGUUUUUUCAAUAUUUCUUUUUUUUAAUCAAAUACUGAGUUCUUACCUUAGUAGUUGGUGUCCUUGGGUUUAUCAAAUAUAAUGGUACCAUGCUUGUUGGUUUCUGGAUCUUACCAACCUGAUCAACUUUGUUUUAUUAUUUAAUCAGUACCAAUAGUGUUAAUAAUUAAGAUUUGGUUCUGCUCUGCCUUCA
rnacentral:lncRNA from 1 species